CAUGCGCGAGGCCCGAGCCGCCGCUUUGGUCACAGUGACCGCCACCGUCGCCGGGGGAUGGGUCCCUGAGACUUGGCGAAGUAGGAGCCCUGUGUGAUCGUGCGUCAGAGUCGGGGCUGAGACCAGCCCUGGCCAGGGCAGUUACCAGGACGGUCUCCGGAGGCCGGGAUUCGCGGAGGGUCCACCAGCAGGAAGAAACCCCAGGAGGAAGAAACCUCAGACAGAUCGCCGGGGAGGCAGCGCGGGAUCCCAGCCUCAGGCGUGCGCGGACGGUGUGCGGCCUCUCCCCGCGUCUCUGCCUGGGUGUUGUGGCCGGUUGGCAAUCGUUUUCCCGGCGGUUCCGGCUUGGGGGUCUGUGAAGGCCUGGGCAACGUGGGCAUCUGCGUCGGAGCCGCAGGGGUUUUCAUUCCCUCCCCAUCCGGAGCAGCCUCUUUGCUAGGCUAGAUCCAGACGACCGCUCCCCAACCAAGGACAACGGCCUCCCAGGCGCUCAUUGUCCACCCGCAGGAGGGUGCCCGCAGACCUUCCAGAAGAUGCUUCUCACGCCUCUUGCCCUGCCCUCUGCCCUCAUGGAGAAAUCUAGCCACAGCUCGACGCAGGGACGGAGAAGGAAGCCGGCAAGGGGAUGGGGCAAGCCUCUCUCUCACUCAAAGGCAGUAUAGAAGUCCACCACAGAGGCAUAUCCAGUAUGGUGCCCACCACCUCAUCUUGGGGCUGGGUGAAGGGCAAGUGGCACUGCAGGAAAUAGUAGCCUUGUUCUCUGUCCUCAAUUUGUUCCAAGAUUGCGGCCCACACCAGUGCUUGGGCUUGUGAGAAUGGAGGGCUCUCCAACAGUUCAGAAACAAGCAGUCUGCCGCAGAGGUGAGAAGAGCAAAAGACACCCCCACCUAUGCUUUUCCAUGGAACAUCAAGUCCCUCAGAGUAUAAUGUCUGCUGGGUUCUUGCUUCCUUAUUUUUCUGUGUUCAAAUUUCUUCUUGUGGUGCUCUAGCACACUUCCGUCUAUAUAGAUAUUGGAAUUAACGAUUAUUUAUCCAUAACUUUGCUUUCUCUUUCUGAGAAUAACUAGAGUCAAAUAUCUAUAGUCAGUCAUAUUGAAGAAAAACCUCAGAAAUAUACUUCUUAGUAACUCAACACCCAAGAGCAAAUCAUAAUGGAAAUUAUAAAAUAUUUUUAAUUAAAAAAUGUAUACUACAUUAUAAAAUGUGUCAUUUUAGAGGAAAAUGUAGAACCUUAAAUUCUUAUUUUAUGAGGACAACAAAUUAAUUUUUAAAAUGUUUUGAAUUUAUUGGUAGAAGUUAGAAAUAUCAACAGAAAUAAAAGGAAAUAAUAAAUACAUGCAUAGUGAUUAAGAAUACAGGGAAAGAAAAGUCAAGAAAUAUGGCCAAAAGUUUGUUAGUUGUUGUAGGAGCCAUACAAUAACAAAACUCUGGAGAAAUGGCUUGAUAAAAUUAAGAGAAGAAACAAGUAUGCCAUCUCAGGAAUCAAAAUAGGAAAUAAUUAUACAUCAGGUGUCAAGAAUUUUUUUUGUUUUUUGGAAAGGAUCUGUUGGUAAUUAUUUUAGGUUUUUGGGCUAUAUGGUUUGUUGCAACUAAUCAAUUCUAUUGUUGUGGCAUAAAUUGACAGUAUGUCAAUGAAUGAGCAUGACAGUGUUCCAGUAAUACUUUAUUUAUAAAUACUGUCUGGCUUAUUUGCCACAGUUUAUUGAGUUUUGUUAUAAAUAAUACAAAUAUCAAGAAGGUAAAUUAGUAUAGUAUGAAAACGUUUAAUUCAAUAAAUUUGGAAAUAUAUGUAAAAUGUGUACAAUUACUUGAAACAUGCAUUUUUCCAAAAGUAACCUAAAGUGAAAAGAAAAAUCUGAAUUGUGCUACAACAAAUGCAUGUAAUCAGUAGUCAGAAAUCAUAUCAUAAAGAUAAUUUCAAGCCAUGAUGACUUUACUGGCAAGUUGUUUCAAACAUGAAACAAAACAAUAAUUCCAAUCUUACAUACAAUUCUUUCUGAGCAUGAAACAGGAAAGAACAUACUCUAUUUUAUUUUAUUAUGCUAUUAUGACUCUGAUAUUAUAACCUGACAAGGAUAGUAAAGGGAAAGUAAAUUAAACACCAAUGUAAUUUAUGAAAAUAUUGAAGGAAAACUUAAAAAAGUUCCAUGCAGAAAUAAGCAAUGCAUUAAAAUGUAAGACAUCACAGCCAAUGUUUAUUCUAAGAAACCCUGGGAAGCAAUAAUGGCCUCAUGUAAAGGUAUCAAUUAAUAUGAUACACCACAACAAAUAACUUAACAAUAUUAUAAGCAUAUUUAAUUUUAUUUUCUUAAAAAGUCAUACAUUUUAACAACCCGAAAUUAAAAGAGAAUCUAGUUUAACUGAUAACAUUUGUUUUCAAAAGUUCUAUUGAAAUUAUAACACUUAACAAUGGAAUGUUCAAAUAUUUCCUUUGUGAUUGGGAACAAAAUAAACAUAGAUGGUACAAGCAAUUUUAUUUAUCCUUUUGCAGGUCUUAGACACUGGGAUAGGAUUGUAAAUAUUAAAAAAAUAAGAAUUAUGAAAGAGAAAACAGAUUACUAUGUUACCGAUGACACUAAGUACACAGAAAAUUCAAAAUGAUUCUAAGAUACAUUAUACUAAUGAAUAUGAGCUUUUAGCAAGAUGCUUUGACACAAACGUAUUAUGCAAUAUUGAAAUGCAUUUCAAAUAAGUAGAGAACUUUAUUUAGAUGUGUCAAUGUGGCUUACUCUCACAAACAUAGUAUUUAGUGGCAUGAUUAAGUCACAAAAGAAUACGUACAGUAUAACUCAGUUUAAAUAAAGUUCAAAUAAACAUAGACAUAACAUUGACAUAAAUAUAUUCUUAAUUGAAAGACUUUAAUGAAAUCACUUCUCCCCAAAAUUAAUCUUUGUAACUAGUGCAUCCAAAGUAAAACCCAGUAAGGUUUGAUUUAGAUAUUGACAAGCUAAUUCUAGAAUUUAUGUAAACUCUAAAAAUAUUAAAAUUCAGUUAAUAAUUUAUUGAGGAAGGAAAAAUAUAUUACAGGAAAUAUAAGAAUUAAUGCAAUGUGGUAUUAACAAAGUAAUAAAUAAUCAAUGAAAUGGAAUAGGUAGACUACAGUAAGGAAAAUAUAAGAACCCAUGAUAUGUAAGAAAGCUAGUAUUAUAGAUCAGUGGUGAAAAAUAAAUUUGCCAAUAAAUGAGAGUGAGAAAACUGGCUAUACAUAUGGAAAAUAAUUAAAGUGAUUCUUUACCUUAUAUAAUAUUUAACAAUCAAUUCCUUGGCAAUCAAUAUUUAAAUGUAAAGCCAGGCAAAAAUUACAGAAAACCCGACAGUAAAACAAAGAAAAUGGCUUGCACAUGUGCUUUAUAAAAUGUACAAUGUAAGUGUCCACCAUACCUAUUUAGAAUCACUUUAACUUAUUUUUAACACAAAAAUGCAAAUGAAAAUGUUUUAUAUGUACAUUAUUACUUAUACAAGAGAUUGACCAAAAACGGUCUGACAAGACAGACUUCUGGCAAACAUAUAGAGCAAUAAUAAUUUCAUAUGCUUUCCUGGAAAUGGAAAUUAUAUCCGUUUUAAAAAGAGGCUUGUAUUACCCAGUAAUAUUGAAGAUGACCAUAUAUUCUAAUCAGCAAUUGGCUUUCACUCCUUAUUUUGUAUGUACAUGGUUGGCCAUUAAGAAAUGUAAUCCAAAAUAUUUACAGGCUCAGUUAAGUACUAUAAGCAAUGCAAAAGUUAAACAACUGUAGAAUGUGGUAGAUUCAUACAGUGGAAUACUACACUUUAGAAAAAAAAUAGAUAACUUUAUUUAGAUAUGUUAAUGUGGCUUACUCUCACAAACAUAAUAUGCAGUGGUAUGAUUAAGUCACAAAAGGAUAUGUACAAUAUAAUUCAGUUUAAAUAAAGUUCAAGAACACAAAACAGCAAGUUGGAUUGUUUAUAAAAGGUUUACUGGACACUAAAUCUACAAAGAUAAUAAUAGAAAUUAUUUUAACACAUCCUUCAAUUACCUUUCAUUCCUCCAGAAAUUUGUUGAAACCUCUUGAAUGCCUGUGACCUUUCUCAUUUCCUCCACUGUUUAAUUUCCUUUUAUACUUUGUUUAAAACUUUGAAUGGACAUAUGAGAGAUGAAGUCAUAUUUUUCUAAAUAAGUUCAAAAAUAUUUUGCUUUAAAAUAUAAGUAGUGAUUAAAUUUCUAAGAAUUGAGCAAUAGUUGAAUGUUAUAAAUUUAGUUUUCAUGAAUAUUUCUCUCUCCACAUUUCUUCUUCUCAACUUGCUCAUAUCCCUUCAAAUGACAAAAUACUUAGAAGUAUUUGAGUCAAGUUAGAUAUAUUUUUGAAGAUAUUAUUUGCUUAUUUAUCUAUGAGAGGUCAACAACAACUUCCAUGAAUAUUAGGAAAGCAAAUGUCGGUAGCUCUAUUCACUUCAAUAUUGAAUUCACCUAUAUCUGAAAUUUAAAUGUCAGUGAUAAGACUGACAGAAAGCGUCACACACUUUAGGUAACACAGCACUAAGUGGCAACACUUUAAUAUUGUCACUAUUACAUUUUUCAGAUAUACAAUAUAUACUUUACCAAGAAUCCUAGUCUAUUAUGUUCUAAGGAUGAGCUGUCUUUAUACAAAUUCACAAUAAAUAGCUGUGUAAAUAAGAGUUACCAUUUUUAUUUUAUAGCAUAAAAUGUAUUUCAAUUAGUUGUACAAAUCAGAUAUGUUAUAAAAGAAACAUCUUUCCUAUUAUUGAAUUACCCAAAGUUGCUUACCUAACAUAGAAUCUUGUGGAGGAAAAUAGGCCAGUGAAAUUCAGUGAUUAUUCAUUAUGAUCAAGGUGAUUAGUACAGAAAUCUCCAUGACUAUUCUGUGCAGUGUCUUUUCUUUAACAAUAUUUUAUAAUCAUUCUUAUUUUUACUUUCUGUAGACAAAUCCUUUCUUGUUUUGCCUCCUUUUAGGUACUUUUGAGAUUAUAAAAGUAUAUAGUAAAAACAAAUGCACACACAAAACUAUUCGGUUGGUAUACUUAAUUUUGUUAGAAUAGAUUUAGUCCAGGUAUAUUCCAGUGGUUUCUUACUGAGAGUUCAUCCUAGUCCCCUGAUUAUUACUUGAGUGUUCACUGAUGGUUUUUCCUUCUUGUUAACAGGAAAUAGUUUUGGUUUCUGCUAAAAAUGGCAGUUGUGUGAGUUUUAUUUCUUAGAAAAUAACUAUAUUUUAUAUUUGGUGAAUAUCUUAGUUUUGCAUUUAAUUUGCUAAGCAGAAUCAAUGCAAUCACUAUCAUAUUCUAUAGUUUUUCCUAACAGAUUGAUAGAGUAAAAUGUAUGGUUUUUCUAAUUUUUAGCAUUUGUGUCCAAUAAAAUGACUUUAUAUAAUUUUUUUCUUGUUGGUUCAUUUUUUUUCCGGUCAAAGUUUCUUCUUUAGUUUCUCAUAUAAUUGAUUCAAAACUCCUAAGUGAUGAUCACAGUAACCUUAGGUAUUUCUUAAUUCUCCAUAAUAAAUAUAGCAUCUGAGUCUAAUUUCUUCUGGGAGAUUUAUUAACUUUUAAGAUAGCAUGUGUCACUUACAUAAUCUAACAAUGCAUUUUGCAUACUAAAAUGAUGAAACAUUCUUAAUGAAUUUAAAUAGCUACUUUAUCAGAAACAGGAGUCAUAGGUUGAAUUUUUAUGUGGGUAGUAGAGCUAAGAAUAUUUGUAAAACAGCUCUCCAUGAUGGGCUCCAACAGGAUGAAGUAAGACCACCUACCAAGGAAGUAAGAUCAGUCCCAAAAUGAACUGUACAUGAAAUUCUGCUCUAAGAUCUUUUUGCUUUUUAACAUGAUUUCAGAAAAGGCUAAUUUUUGUAAUGGACUACAAUACUUGUUUUGCUACAUAAGCUUUCAGGAUUUUUUUUCUUUUAUUUUUAUUUUAAAAUUAAUUUUUGAGCAGCAUUCUUGACUGCAAGAAAGCUUCUGUCAGUUUCCCAAAUUACUCAAAUAACAUGUAUUUUACACUGAAAAUCAUGAGCUCCUUAACUCAAAGCUUUUCCUUGUUGUUUUUGUAACUAUUUACCAUACAAUUACUUGUAAAUGAAAUGUAUAACAUAAAUAUGCGCUAACAUAAAGGAAGAUGUUUAAAUAUUUUUUAGACUUCUGAAAAAAGAUAAAACUCUCGGUUUUUAAGAACAUUGUAUCUUUCAUUUUAUCUUUCUUUCUCCUCCAAAUAUAUUAAUAACUAUCCUUCUAUUUGUUACGUUCUUUUACUUAAAGGGACUAAAGUAUAAAUCAGGUAAUUAAUACACAAAACUUUAUUCUGUCCCUUGCUUGUAGCACUACUUCAUUCCAGUUUCCUCAGAGUUUAUUAUAUAAAUCAGACAGAUUUGUAAAUAAGUAUUUUACAGUCUACAUUUAUUUGAUUAUGAAAAUGGAAACAGAAUAAAAUGUGAAAAGAUAACAAACUUU
rnacentral:lncRNA from 1 species